rnacentral:tRNA from 1 species
CGGGCCAUAGUAUAAUGGUAGUACGCGAAGCUGGGGGCUUUGUAGCGGAGGUUCAAUUCCUCCUGGCCCGA